UACGGAGGGUGCGAGCGUUGUCCGGAAUCAUUGGGCGUAAAGGGCGCGUAGGUGGCCCGGUCAGUUCGUGGUGAAAGCGCGGGGCUCAACCCUGCGUCGGCCAUGAAUACUGCCGCGGCUGGAGCGCUGUAGAGGCAGGCGGAAUUCCGGGUGUAGCGGUGGAAUGCGUAGAGAUCCGGAAGAACACCGGUGGCGAAGGCGGCCUGCUGGGCAGUUGCUGACACUGAGGCGCGACAGCGUGGGGAGCAAACAGG
rnacentral:rRNA from 1 species